rnacentral:rRNA from 1 species
AGUGAACGCUGGCGGUAGGCCUAACACAUGCAAGUCGAACGGCAGCACAGUAAGAGCUUGCUCUUACGGGUGGCGAGUGGCGGACGGGUGAGGAAUACAUCGGAAUCUACUUUUUCGUGGGGGAUAACGUAGGGAAACUUACGCUAAUACCGCAUACGACCUACGGGUGAAAGCAGGGGAUCUUCGGACCUUGCGCGAUUGAAUGAGCCGAUGUCGGAUUAGCUAGUUGGCGGGGUAAAGGCCCACCAAGGCGACGAUCCGUAGCUGGUCUGAGAGGAUGAUCAGCCACACUGGAACUGAGACACGGUCCAGACUCCUACGGGAGGCAGCAGUGGGGAAUAUUGGACAAUGGGCGCAAGCCUGAUCCAGCCAUACCGCGUGGGUGAAGAAGGCCUUCGGGUUGUAAAGCCCUUUUGUUGGGAAAGAAAAGCAGCAGAUUAAUACCCCGCUGUUCUGACGGUACCCAAAGAAUAAGCACCGGCCAACUUCGUG